CUUUCCUGUCACUGUUGCCAAGUGCUUGCUCAUGAUAGAUAUUUUGCAGAGCUUCAGUCAUCCACACUAUGAUGAACUUUACCUUGAUAACAGCUUUCCUUCUCUGCAGCCUCAGCUGGAUCUCUGUCUCAGUUUCUGAGUCUCAGACUGUGGCGGUCGAGUCUGGUCAAGACGUCACACUGCUGUGCUCCAACAUUUCCAAAAAUGAAGGUGUAACAUUCUGGAUCAGACUUGUCCAGAGAACCAACAUC